UACAGAGGGUGCGAGCGUUAAUCGGAGUUACUGGGCGUAAAGGGCGCGUAGGCGGUUUAAUAAGAUUGAUGUGAAAUCCCUGGGCUUAACCUAGGAACUGCAUCGAUGACUAUUGAGCUGGAGUAUUGUAGAGGGUGGUGGAAUUUCCUGUGUAGCGGUGAAAUGCGUAGAUAUAGGAAGGAACACCAGUGGCGAAGGCGACCACCUGGACUGAUACUGACACUGAGGUGCGAAAGCGUGGGGAGCAAACAGG
rnacentral:rRNA from 1 species